rnacentral:rRNA from 1 species
CGGGGAAUAUUGGGCAAUGGGCGAAAGCCUGACCCAGCAAUGCCGUGUGGGCGAUGAAGUCCUUCGGGAUGUAAAGCCCUUUUAUGAGGGAAGAAAGAUAUGCAGGCUAAUACCUCGCAUGUUUGACGGUACUUCAUGAAUAAGCCCCGGCUAACUCCGUGCCAGCAGCCGCGGUAAUACGGAGGGGGCAAGCGUUGUUCGGAAUCACUGGGCGUAAAGGGCGCGUAGGCGGUUAUGCUAGUCAGGUGUGAAAUCCCCAGGCUUAACUUGGGAACUGCGCUUGAAACUGCAUAGCUUGAGGCCGGGGGAGGAAAGUGGAAUUCCUGGUGUAGCGGUGAAAUGCGUAGAUAUCAGGAGGAACACCGGUGGCGAAGGCGGCUUUCUGGACCGGUUCUGACGCGGAAGCGCGAAAGCGUGGGGAGCAAACGG